ACAUUAUAGUGACGGCCUGUGAAAGCAGGUUUUCUUUUUCGGAGACACUAUAACAGGUGGUGCAUGGCUGUCGUCAGCUCGUGUCGUGAGAUGUUGGGUUAAGUCCGCAACGAGCGCAACCCCUUUCCUUAGUUGCCAUCAGGUAAUGCUGGGGACUCUAAGGAUACUGCCCCGGUUAACGGGGAGGAAGGUGGGGAUGACGUCAAGUCAGUAUGUCCCUUACGUCCAGGGCUACACACGUGUUACAAUGGCCGGUACAAUGAGUUGCGACCCUGCAAAGGUAAGCCAAUCUCAAAAAACCGGUCUCAGUUCGGAUUGCAGUCUGCAACUCGACUGCAUGAAGUUGGAAUCGCUAGUAAUCGUAGAUCAGCACGCUACGGUGAAUACGUUCCCGGGCCUU
rnacentral:rRNA from 1 species